rnacentral:rRNA from 1 species
UACGGAGGGUGCAAGCGUUAUCCGGAAUCACUGGGUUUAAAGGGUGCGUAGGCUGGCGUAUAAGUCAGAGGUGAAAGCUUUCAGCUUAACUGGAAAAUUGCCUUUGAUACUGUACGUCUUGAAUCAAGUUGAGGUUGGCGGAAUGUGACAUGUAGCGGUGAAAUGCAUAGAUAUGUCAUAGAACACCAAUUGCGAAGGCAGCUAGCUGAGCUUGUAUUGACGCUGAGGCACGAAAGCGUGGGGAGCGAACAGG